AGAGGGAGAUACGAGGUAAUAGACAAAACCAUAAUGGGUCCUUGAUUUGAUCCCAACGUGGAUUGACUUUAUAAGACAAAGUUAUUACUAGAGAUUGAUCCGCACGUCCGUGCGGUUGUUAAUAUUUUAGGAGGAUCCGACAAAACCUAUCCAUAAUUUUUAUCUGAAUGGAGCUUAGUUUUAAAAUCUAAAAAACCUGAUACCCGAAAGAAACAACUCGUACCUAAAUGAAUACCCGAAUGUUAAUACCGACUGAUUCUGUAAACAAAAUAAAUAAAAAACUCUUUGUUACCAUUUUGAAUUCUUGUCACAAAUAGAACAAUUAAAUUCAAACAUGUUGAAUUAUUAUGGAUAGUAUGUAAACAAAUUCUGUCAAAAUAUUAUAGUAAAACUAAUUAAUAAGAUUCUUGAGUUAGAAAAUGAAACACUUGUAAGUUAUGUUUUGUACUUUUGUAGUAAAUGAUGUUGAUUUUUUUAUAAAA
rnacentral:lncRNA from 1 species